AGGUGCGAUCAUACCAGCACUAAUGUACCGGAUCCCAUCAGAACUCCGCACUUAAGCGUGCUUGGGAAAGAGUAGCACUAGAAUGGGUGACCUCUUAGGAAGUCCUCGCAUUGCACCUC